GACGAACGCUGGCGGCGUGCUUAACACAUGCAAGUCGAACGGAAAGGCCCUGCUUUUGUGGGGUGCUCGAGUGGCGAACGGGUGAGUAACACGUGAGUAACCUGCCCUUGACUUUGGGAUAACUUCAGGAAACUGGGGCUAAUACCGGAUAGGAGCUCCUGCUGCAUGGUGGGGGUUGGAAAGUUUCGGCGGUUGGGGAAGGACUCGCGGCUUAUCAGCUUGUUGGUGGGGUAGUGGCUUACCAAGGCUUUGACGGGUAGCCGGCCUGAGAGGGUGACCGGCCACAUUGGGACUGGGAUACGGCCCAGACUCCUACGGGAGGCAGCAGUGGGGAAUAUUGCACAAUGGGCGGAAGCCUGAUGCAGCAACGCCGCGUGCGGGAUGACGGCCUUCGGGUUGUAAACCGCUUUCGCCUGUGACGAAGCGUGAGUGACGGUAAUGGGUAAAGAAGCACCGGCUAACUACGUG
rnacentral:rRNA from 1 species